GACGAACGCUGGCGGCGUGCUUAACACAUGCAAGUCGAACGGAAAGGCCCUGCUUUUGUGGGGUGCUCGAGUGGCGAACGGGUGAGUAACACGUGAGUAACCUGCCCUUGACUUUGGGAUAACUUCAGGAAACUGGGGCUAAUGCCGGAUAGGAGCUCCUGCUGCAUGGUGGGGGUUGGAAAGUUUCGGCGGUUGGGGAUGGACUCGCGGCUUAUCAGCUUGUUGGUGGGGUAGUGGCUUACCAAGGCUUUGACGGGUAGCCGGCCUGAGAGGGUGACCGGCCACAUUGGGACUGAGAUACGGCCCAGACUCCUACGGGAGGCAGCAGUGGGGAAUAUUGCACAAUGGGCGGAAGCCUGAUGCAGCAACGUCGCGUGCGGGAUGACGGCCUUCGGGUUGUAAACCGCUUUCGCCUGUGACGAAGCGUGAGUGACGGUAAUGGGUAAAGAAGCACCGGCUAACUACGUG
rnacentral:rRNA from 1 species